rnacentral:rRNA from 1 species
UGUUUCCUACGGGGGGCAGCAGUGGGGAAUAUUGGGCAAUGGGCGCAAGCCUGACCCAGCAAUGCCGCGUGAAGGAAGAAGGCCCUCGGGUUGUAAACUAUUGUCGUGAGGGAAGAAAUUGACAGUACCUCAGGAGGAAGCUCCGGCUAACUAUGUGCCAGCAGCCGCGGUAAUACAUAGGGAGCAAGCGUUAUCCGGAUUUAUUGGGUGUAAAGGGUGCGUAGACGGGAAAUUAAGUUAGUUGUGAAAUCCCUCGGCUUAACUGAGGAACUGCAACUAAAACUGAUUUUCUUGAGUACUGGAGA